rnacentral:rRNA from 1 species
UACGUAGGGUGCAAGCGUUAAUCGGAAUUACUGGGCGUAAAGCGUGCGCAGGCGGUUCGCUAAGACAGAUGUGAAAUGCCCGGGCUUAACCUGGGAACUGCAUUUGUGACUGCAUGGCUAGAGUUUGGCAGAGGGGGGUAGAAUUCCACGUGUAGCAGUGAAAUGCGUAGAUAUGUGGAGGAACACCGAUGGCGAAGGCAGCCCCCUGGGUCAAGACUGACGCUCAUGCACGAAAGCGUGGGGAGCAAACAAGG